rnacentral:sRNA from 1 species
GUCAGCACCCCGCGCUGAAGCGACGGGGCUUCGUGCCUCACCUUCAACGAUAGUUGACCAGCUUAAGUGCCUUGUGUACUACGUUUUUUGAGUCAUGACACCCUGUUGGAUGCGUUCUUUGCAGCGUGGCGUUAGCCAUAGCUAGUCCCUGGCUCUGUC